CAGCAGCCGCGGUAAUACGUAGGGUGCAAGCGUUAAUCGGAAUUACUGGGCGUAAAGCGUGCGCAGUCGGUUAUAUAAGACAGAUGUGAAAUCCCCGGGCUCAACCUGGGAACUGCAUUUGUGACUGUAUAGCUAGAGUACGGCAGAGGGGGAUGGAAUUCCGCGUGUAGCAGUGAAAUGCGUAGAUAUGCGGAGGAACACCGAUGGCGAAGGCAAUCCCCUGGGCCUGUACUGACGCUCAUGCACGAAAGCGUGGGGAGCAAACAGGAUUAGAUACCCGGGUAGUCCCUGUCUCUUAUAC
rnacentral:rRNA from 1 species